rnacentral:rRNA from 1 species
UACAGAGGGUGCGAGCGUUGUCCGGAAUCACUGGGCGUAAAGGGCGCGUAGGCGGCUUCUCAAGCGUGCCGGUGAAAGCUCGGGGCUUAACUCCGAGUCUGCCGUGCGAACUGGGAGGCUUGAGUCUGGUAGAGGUCGAUGGAAUUCCGGGUGUAGCGGUGGAAUGCGUAGAGAUCCGGAAGAACACCGGUGGCGAAGGCGGUCGACUGGGCCAGUACGUGACGCUGAGGCGCGACAGCGUGGGGAGCAAACAGG